UUAAGGGACACAACAGACGUCUCUUAGCAGCCACGUGCCAUCUCCUCCUUCGCUUCCUCCUUCGCUUCCAUCUCCUCUUUCGCUUCCAUUUCCGUCCUCUAAUCGUCUCGUCUCCCUCCUCUCUAUUACCAGAUCUCAAUCUCUUUCUCCUCACAGCAGCAUCAUCAUCAUCUAUGGCUUCCUCUUCUGAAUUCAGUGGGAUCCUCUUGGGAAUGGGAAACCCACUUCUCGACGUCUCUGCCGUCAUCGACCAAGACUUUCUCAACAAAUAAGACAUCAAGUUGAACAAUGCCAUCCUCGCUGAGGACAAACAUUUGCCCAUAUACUUUUGGGACUGAUUGGAGAAGAGACGGUAAUCGCUGCAAAAAUUCUUAAAUCCAUGGGGAUCAAUCUUAAAGAUUCUCGUGUGGAGGUUGAGAAAAUCAUUGGAAGAGGCAGUGGUUAUGUGGCUGUGGAGAUCAUUGGAAGAAGCUCGACAACUUUGUAAAGGAUUCCAUUUGCUUCAUUUACGUUGUGCAUACAUUAGGUUUCUUGAUUAAUUAUCAAAUUUGAUAUGUUGUUGUUCACUCUUCACAUUUUAAGCAAGAGUAAAUGGCAUCUUCUUCUUCUGAUAA